ensembl:miRNA
AAACACUUGAGCCCAGCAGUUCGAGGCUACAGUGAGAUGUGAUCCUGCCACAUCUCACUGUAGCCUCGAACCCCUGGGCUCAAGUGAUUCA